GUCUGGACCGCAAAGCGGGCGGGGCCAAGUAGGAAGGAAAUUGCGUAGUGAUCCGCGCCCGCCUCGUAAUAUAGGAAACAGGAGGCCUGGGCUUCAGUUCCAGCCCUGAAGCUGACAAGCUCUGUGAUCCCAGACAAGUCACUUGACCUCUCUGGGCCUGUUUUCUCACGUGUGAAUGGAAACAGUAAGCCAGGUGCAGAAAUAAGGACACAGCCAGUUCAACAGCACAUGGAAGCUUCAACAGCUGGUGUGCGGCAGAGCCAGGGUUGCAGCUGGGCAGCGAGCACCAGAGGCUGCGUGGGGACCACCCUGCACGCCGAAUCUCACACCCCGGGGAAUCUGGGGCACUGAGUAAUUCAUUUUACAUAACGGUACAGAGCCCUGCUGCGAUGAAGUCCGGGGCUAGCACUGUGAUAAGGACCAACUAUUUCUUUCUGCAUAGGCACCUUCUUGCCAUUUUCCUGCCAGUCCCACUCACUCCGAUGUGUGCCGCCUGCCGCUCACCUGACAGCACAACAUGUUUGCAGGGCGGUGACUCUCUUUUGAUGCACUGGCCUUGGGAGGAGGGAAGCUAUGACAGAGCAAGCCUUUUCUGGAACAGAGAGAGUGUGAAAGCCACGACGCAGUGAUGUAAGGCAGAGUCAUCAGCUGAGUAAGGCAGGGAGGGAGGCUGCUCAGAGACCAGUCAGCCUGGCCUGGAGGAUGGCUCACAUCCACUGAGGCUAUGCGGCUUUGCCGAAAGCCACUCGUGAGUGACUGGCCUGGAGGAUGAGACACAGGCAGUGCCCCCCAGCCCUUCGGCAGCAAUCAGCUCUCUUCCACCCCCGGUGCCCUAUCAUGGCUCAUUUCUCAUCUGCCUGAAAAGGUGAUUGGUGCAAGAAAACUAAGUACCUGGUGUCUGUUAAGAGGCAAAACAGUUCAUCCUGAUUAUUUCAUCUGAGGAAGGAAGGAGGCUGCUCUGCCUGAGGAUGUUGAAGAGGAAGCAAGCAGCAGAUGGGAGCCGGCACCCACCUGCUGAGGGGAGUUCACCUGGGGCCCUGGGUGUCUGUGGUCAGACUCGACCCCCCACUGCUGGAGAGAAGGGAAGGAAGAGAAAGCAGCUGACCUCGAAGGGGGAGUCUGGUCCCCAGCAGGUGGUAGCUCUCCACCUACCACCCCUGCUCCCCAGGCAGCGAGCCAAGCUGAGGAGGAAAACAGGGCAUAGCUCAGAGUGUCUUUAUCCCCCUGCCAGCCCAAUACUGAGACAAACAAGGGGAAGGAGGAAGAACAAUUGAUCAGGGCUCCCUGGCUCUUAGCAGACAGUCACACACAGCAUCAGUCAUGAAGUCGUGGGUGUCAGGUUGAAAAGAAAAAGCUACACUGUACUGCAAACUAAAUGGAAUGAAAUAAAAAAUACUUGGGUAUGAAGAAGAGCCUGUUCUCUUGAGACACUGCAUUAUCUGGAGGUGAGCGGAGGGAAGGCAGGAGAGGGAGCUGUCUCUGGGUUUCUUAAUUAUCCAGUGAGUGUGACCUUUAGGGGACACCCGUGAGCCAUUGCUCCUGACCGUGGCUGACAGCUGCUAGCACGGUAGUGGUGGACCUGCUACCAGGGGGCUGGGGUCCUUCACAGCUUGGACUCUUAGGAAAGGGUGGAACCUCUCGAGCCAUAGAGAACUGCAUGGUGUGGAGCUCUGUGUCUGCUGAGUGGAGUCCUAACUCCGAGGGGCUGGGCACCCCUCUCCUUCCCUUCACCCCCUGGAGGCUUACACAAGCGCCCAGCUGCAUGCCGGGCUGGCCAGCGUUUCAGGACGGAGCUGACCAGCAGGCAUUUGUCCCAGGCGUCUCAGUCCAGACCACCAGAUGCCACCAUUCAUUUAAAUCAGCGAGCGAUUAUGGGAGUCCACCAAAGGCACCAAGGACUCAGACCCUGCUCACACAGCGCUUUCUGUCCAGCAGGGGCGCAUAGCCCCAAAACUAGUCAAUCAAAAACCAAGAGUGACUCUGUCGCUGCGAAAGAGCCAGGCGCUGAGCGAGGAGGUGCCCGCAGAUCCAAGUUGGGGCGCGCAGGCAGCUGCGCAGCCUUGGGAGCGGGUGCUGCGCAGGCUGAGGAAGCUACACGCAGCCUGGGGCACCAAGAAGACUCGACGCCCACGCUGGGCAGGAGGGGAGAGGGUGGGGCUGCGGGGGACCACUCGAUGGGACUGUUAAUGGGGUUUCCCCCGGGCUCAGGGCUCCAGGUACCAGAAAGGGCAGCCCCAUGUUUUCUGAGAUUUUGCGUGUAAUUUGCCUACUGUCUCCCCUUCUUCCCUUUCUCUAUCUGCUUUGCAUUUCUCAAUGUAUUUAUACUCAGACUCUGCAGAGGUCUUUUACUCUGUCUGUAUUUAGGUUUAAAUGUCACCAUUUCUGCCCCUUCUGAGCUACAUUAAGCAAACUGUCUGGGAACAAGAACAGAGAACACAAGAAAACCCUCUGAGGGACCAUAACUUGGGGUCUCUUUCCUCGUAGAUGUCAUUCUGGCACAAAAGAAGGGCUACCAGCCUGGAGAAGGAGGGGGAAUCUUUGGCUAGAUCCCAGAUGAUUGGGUCACUCUGAGCAAGUCCCUCCCCUUGGGUGACCUUGAGCAAGUCCCUUGCUUCAUGUGUGGAAUGAAAUGAGAGGAAUGUAGUAGGUAAGGAAUUCCUGCCGGGGACAUAGCUCAGCGGCACAAGUGUCUCCCUGGCAAAUGCAAGGUCCUGAGUUCAAUUCUGGUACCACAAAAAAAAAAAAGGAGUUCCCUACCUGGGGUCCCCAGGCAGGUACAGGGGUGUCUAAGGGACUGAGUGUAAACUUUAGAGGCCUUGAGUAUCUAUACAUUUUUUCAAGAUGAGUUCCAUAAACUGUCAUUCAAUUCUUAGAAGGGACGAGAGCUAAAAAGGGGUCAGGAGCAUCUGCCCGGUGACACCCGCCAGUCCACCGCUUUCAGGAUGCAGCCGAUCAGUGGCACCCUGACCCCCCGAUGCUGAAAAGACGGCUCCCAGACAGGGCUGCCAGGCAUGGAGACGGCAGGGGGCACAGGCUACGCCAGGAGGGAGGCCAGGUUACGAACAGGAAGCGGCGCUUGGCAUCUCUGGUAAACUGCUUACAGAUGUCACUGAACAGAGAUCCAAAACUGCGAGGUGUCUGCAAUUUGCUGUGAUUUCCCUCCCCAGCUUCUAAAUAAAUAU